AUGAACGCUAGCUACAGGCUUCACACAUGCAAGUCGAGGGGCAGCAUGGUCUUAGCUUGCUAAGGCCGAUGGCGACCGGCGCACGGGUGAGUAACACGUAUCCAACCUGCCGUCUACUCUUGGACAGCCUUCUGAAAGGAAGAUUAAUACAAGAUGGCAUCAUGAGUCCGCAUGUUCACAUGAUUAAAGGUAUUCCGGUAGACGAUGGGGAUGCGUUCCAUUAGAUAGUAGGCGGGGUAACGGCCCACCUAGUCUUCGAUGGAUAGGGGUUCUGAGAGGAAGGUCCCCCACAUUGGAACUGAGACACGGUCCAAACUCCUACGGGAGGCAGCAGUGAGGAAUAUUGGUCAAUGGGCGCAGGCCUGAACCAGCCAAGUAGCGUGAAGGAUGACUGCCCUAUGGGUUGUAAACUUCUUUUAUAAAGGAAUAAAGUCGGGUAUGUAUACCCGUUUGCAUGUACUUUAUGAAUAAGGAUCGGCUAACUCCGUG
rnacentral:rRNA from 1 species